UACAGAGGGUGCGAGCGUUGUUCGGAAUUAUUGGGCGUAAAGGGCGCGUAGGCGGUGCGGUAAGUCACCUGUGAAAUCUCCUGGCUCAACUGGGAGCUUGCAGGCGAAACUGCCGUGCUGGAGUGUGGGAGAGGUGCGUGGAAUUCCUGGUGUAGCGGUGAAAUGCGUAGAUAUCAGGAGGAACACCUGUGGCGAAAGCGGCGCACUGGACCACAACUGACGCUGAGGCGCGAAAGCUGGGGGAGCAAACGGG
rnacentral:rRNA from 1 species